AGAGUUUGAUCCUGGCUCAGGAUGAACGCUGGCGGAGUGCCUAACACAUGCAAGUCGAGCGGCAGCGCGAGUAGUUUACUACUUGGCGGCGAGCGGCGGACGGCUGAGUAACGCGUGGGAACAUGCCCCAAAGUGAGGAAUAACUGCCCGAAAGGGUAGCUAAUGCCGCAUAUGAUCUUCGGAUUAAAGGAUUUAUCCGCUUUGGGAGUGGCCUGCGUACGAUUAGAUAGUUGGUGAGGUAAUGGCUCACCAAGUCUACGAUCGUUAACUGGUUUGAGAGGAUGAUCAGUCAGACUGGAACUGAGACACGGUCCAGACUCCUACGGGAGGCAGCAGUGAGGAAUCUUCCACAAUGGACGAAAGUCUGAUGGAGCAACUCCGCGUGCAGGAUGAAGGCCUUCGGGUCGUAAACUGCUUUUAUGAGUGAAGAAUAUGACGGU
rnacentral:rRNA from 1 species